AAAACGACUCUCGGCAACGGAUAUCUAGGCUCUCGCAUCGAUGAAGAACGUAGCAAACUGCGAUACUUGGUGUGAAUUGCAGAAUCCCGUGAACCAUCGAGUUUUUGACGCAAGUUGCGCCCGAAGCCAUUAGGCCGAGGGCACGUCUGCCUGGGCGUCACGC
rnacentral:rRNA from 1 species